rnacentral:tRNA from 1 species
UAAGUCUUAAGUUAUACAAACUAAAGGCCUUCAAAGCCUUAUAAGAGGUGUCUCAGACUU